UGGGGUCCUGUAAUCCUAAUAAUAUAGAUAAGCCAGCAGGUGUCGCUGCAGCCGUGUAUACAGAUGUGGAUACAGUCAUACAGGGGCGGCGUACCUCUGAUGAUGGUCCCCGCGUAGUUGCUGAGCACCUAGGGGUCUAUGGGUAUGUUUACAAGGUUACCUAUGCUAACGGUACUGUAGGGCUAAUGAGUACACAUAUGGGGCGUACCAGAUCCCAGGACUACGCGAAGGGCAUGUUAUUGUCUGUUAGUGACUGGAGACAGUGUCGUUCAGUAAUCGGUGGGUCAUUUGAGCCGGAUAAUCCGUCUGAUAGUAUGACCACAGCCCACUGGUAUAGUGAAACAGGGGCUCAAAUAUACCAUAUAGAUACAGGACCCCUCCCCCGAUCACCGCUAGGGUUUCUAUUGGUUAGCAGUUGUCUGAACCGUGAAUACAUGUUGGUGUGUAGAGGGAUGACGGGUUAUGGUCAGACAACCCACCAGUUCAAUAGUAGCGAGUAUGAUAAGUGGUUUCAGACCACAUUCUUUGUUCAAUGGUGUGAUUGGCAGGCCAUGCAGGGUCUGUUCAGCCAGGUUGACAACGCUAUCAGGGCAGACAGAGUCUAUGAGACUUACGGUGCUCUUAGAAAACGUCUUGUCUACGAUGAUGCGCCAAUUGGUAUGCAAAUUGGGGUGUCUGCUAUCAUGCGGACACGGAACUGAUAAAGUCGACAAGCCCAUGUCAUCUAAACGGGGGAAAUCAAGGCGCUGAAAACACAGAUGCCAACCACUCAUGGGCCGAUCAAGUGAAGAACCCCCCUCAUACUGACAAUACGGACACCGAGGUCACAUGCACUGUUGACCCGGUUGCAUAUUUUAUGGCCGGGCAUGCUAUGACCAUACAGCAUCAUCAGGACACGUGGGAGACCGUGGCAACGAACACCCGAGGGCUUGACAUCAUCGGACCUCCCGACUCCCCUAAAAAAGAACACCCGUGUUUCACAGAAUGUGUUAAAACGGGAGUUCUACGUCUGCUGUCUGCUGCCGUCCAGUACUACAAGGAGAAAAAAUGUUACGGAUGUUAUACUGCUCAUCCCAGUCAGAUCCACCAUCCAUGCCUGUGGCCUAUACCAGAAGACUUCUACACUGAGCACUAUGAGGAGUUGAUGUAUACCUUGUGGACCGACGAUUUCAUACCAACAGUGCAAAUGUAUGUGUCACUCUAUGGUAUUGAAACAACAGCUGAUAGGAUCAAUGGAGCUGCAGCCAUGAUAUGCCAUAAUCUGCUUACCGUUGAUAAUGUGCCCUUAGCGCUUGUAAGCUACGAUGACCCCAUGCCAUCUGAGUAUGAGCCCCCAGGGUACAAUUGGGCCCUCAGGCUUGAGAAACUAUGUGAUAGGUGGCUAAAGUCUGUACAUCGCCACCCUAUAACCGUUGAGUAUGCUAUUGUUUCUUCUUAUGGUAUCAAACAUGUGUUGUUUAUGUGUGGAUGCAAUAAAACAGCUUGUUACAGUUA